CGACAUAGCUCAAUUGGCAGAGCAACUGACUUGUAAUCAGUAGGUUGAGGGUUCGAUUCCUUUUGUCGGC
rnacentral:tRNA from 1 species